rnacentral:tRNA from 1 species
UCCCUGGUGGCCCAGUGGUUAGAACUCAGCACUUUGACUGCUGUGGGCCCAGGUUCAGUCCUCGGUCGGGGAG